GUGUCAGCAGCCGCGGUAAGACGAACCGUGCGAACGUUGUUCGGAAUCACUGGGCUUAAAGGGCGCGUAGGCGGAUCAGCAAGUCCGGGGUGAAAUCCUCCGGCUUAACCGGAGAAGUGCCUUGGAUACUGCUGGUCUCGAGGGAGGUAGGGGUCAUGGGAACUUCUGGUGGAGCGGUGAAAUGCGUUGAUAUCAGAAGGAACGCCGGUGGCGAAAGCGCAUGACUGGAUCUCUUCUGACGCUGAGGCGCGAAAGCUAGGGGAGCGAACGGGAUUAGAUACCCUUGUAGUCC
rnacentral:rRNA from 1 species